rnacentral:rRNA from 1 species
UACAGAGGGUGCGAGCGUUGUUCGGAAUUAUUGGGCGUAAAGGGCGCGUAGGCGGUUCGUUAAGUUCGAUGUGAAAGCCCCGGGCUCAACCUGGGAACUGCAUUGGAAACUGGCGAGCUUGAGUAUGGCAGAGGGGGGUGGAAUUCCGCGUGUAGCAGUGAAAUGCGUAGAGAUGCGGAGGAACACCGAUGGCGAAGGCAGCCCCCUGGGCCAAUACUGACGCCUCAGGCACGAAAGCGUGGGGAGCAAACAGG